AUGGAUCCUGAGCUGGGAGAGGUCACAGAGGAGGAGGGGGACGCCAUAGAUGUGAGGGCUACAGUAGCAGAGCAGAGGAGGAGGUGGCGCAGGCGCAGGAAGAUGGCGCGACGUGCUGCCGAGGAGGAACUGGAGGCAGAGUUAAACAGACGCCUUGCGCGUGAGAAAAUGUCACCCAGGAUCAGGAUUGUUGCUCCUAGUUCCGAUGUUCUGAAGAUGGAGACUUCAGAAAAAAAUGGGUAUCAGUUGAUGGAUGUUGCCUUCCACAUCGACUUUGAUGGUUGCAUCAACCUAACUACUGGGUGGAAGGAAUUUGUGGCAGAGUCUGGAUUUGAGGAUGGUGAUGUGGUUAUGGCUGCACUCGCAAGGGUUCCUUUGCUGUUGAACGAGCAUUUGGCGGCAGUGAUACUGGAUUUUGUGUUUGCUGUUAAUGACAGCCAUGGUGUUCCUGAGGACAUUGCUGAUGUUGUUAAAGAUAUUAACGAUGGAAUGUAUUCUCUUAACGUUGAUGAUGGUGAUGGCAGCUUGCAGUUGUCUGUUACUCAGUCUCAAAGUGUUAAUGGCACUGAGCCUGUUACCCAGGCUGAGGAUGUUCCUAUGCACAAAGCUGAUGGGGAUAGUGUUGCUGUGAAAAUUGGUCCAAGCAAACUUGGUGGCUCCCCUAUUCGUCGGAGUCCACGAGGUUUGACAAAUAAGAAGCCUUCUUCGUCUCCUCUUCAAGAGCGGUCUUUGUUGAAAGAAAAUAAGAAGCGUAAAGUUCAUCCUGCAAAGGUGAACAAAGGUGUGAAGAAGCAUUCUCGUGUCGAAGAUGAAGAUGCUGUAUCUGAAGAAGAUGAUAUUGAAGUUGAUUCUGAAGAUGAAUUUGUAGUGCCUGUUAGCGUUAUGAGUCCGGUCAAGCCGGUGGGAGGCAAUGCCGGAAAAGUUGCCUUGGAUGAAGAUCCUGAUACAAUGACUCUUGACAUGGGUGAGGCUAAUAAGAAGCUUCGCAUCACUACCGUUGGUAUACAGCAACUAUUUGGUUUCCCUCGUGGCGGUCGUUCUGUGCCAAGGCCGUCAGAGGACGGAUAUGACGACGCUCUGAUGAAGUUAAGAACGGAGCUUGACAUUAGCAGGAACAAAGAAAUCAGUACGAAGGAUUUGAGGAAUAAGCUCAAGGUGCUCGUCAAGGAUCCUAGCAAAGAUGACCUUGCUCUGAAAGUGUUCUUCAUUAUUGUGUUUAUGAAGGUUGUGUUGCCUGGUUCUGCCCCGCGUGUUUCGAGAGAGGCAAUAAUGUUUGAGGGUCUCAUCUUUGAGGACAUGGCUAAAAUGGAUUAUUGCCAGCUGCUGGUUAAUGAGCUUAGAAGGGCUGUUGCCAAGUACCAAGAUGGUGAUACCAUGGGGAAGGCAAUCACAGGAUGUGCCAUAGGGCCUGUACUAUUGUACCUUGACUGCCUUAUCCGUGGCAAGACUGCGGAGCCUGACAUGCGAGUCCCCCACAUAUGUUUCAUGGAUCCUGCCAAGCUUUCUGAUUUGGUUGAUGCAGAUUUGAUAAAAAAAGGCAAUGCAGAUCCAAAGACUUGGGUGUUUGGGAAGCUUCUAAAAACUCAUGAGGAGGUUGUUUUUUUCCGAGUGUAUAAACGGCCAGUCCUGGAGAUGCCGUCAUCUCAUGUUCCGAAGUUUUCAUCUCUGCCCGAUGAGUUGAGGGAUGGCUGUGGUGUUGAGGGUGCUGGUUAUGUCCCCCCUAGCCCUAGUAAUGCUAGUAAUUCACAGAGGCAGGGUUUUGGUAUUGAUGUUCCUGUUUCAGCGUUGGAGCGCGCUGAGCAUAUUUUAAGUAAUGUGUGUUCUGAGCUGCAAAAGGUCCCAACGACAGUUGAGCGUCUGAGCUGUAUCAAUGGUAUCCUUCCUGAAGGUCAUCAAUUUAAUGUUGAGGAAGCUGUUGACUACAUUGAGAUGGAGAGAAUUUUAAUUGGUGAUAUGCGUGACAGUGCCGCUGAUAUAGUUCAGAGCUCAGUUCGUCUGUUGAACAACAUGAAGCGUUUCAGAACUAUGCAAGACUCUCGCUGCAAGCCAUAUGAAGAAAGUGUAAAUGUUGUUAUCAAGCAGAUUGAGCAGGAUGAGGCUACUGCCACUGACAGCAGGGUUGGUGAGGGUACUGAGGCUAAUGUUUCGUAUCACGAAACGAAUGAUGUUUGCUUGGAGCGUCCUGAUGUUGAUAUUGAGCAGGAUGAGGCUUCUGCCACCGACAGCAGGGCUACUGAUGGUACUGAGGCUAAUGUUUCUAAUCACCAUACGAACGAUGUUGGCUUGGAGCACCCUGUUGUUGAUGAGACCAGUCAUAAUGUUGAGGCUACUGUUGACCAUGGAGUUAAUGAUCCAUCUACUGUUAAGUGCAAGGGUCCUCUUGUUGGCGACGAGCCUUGUUUGCCUGUUGGUGAUGUUGCUUUGAAUGUUAGCAGCAGCAAGAUCGAUGAUGUUGCCGUGAAUGCUUCUAAGAUUACUGAUGUUGAGCGUGAGGUUGUCCUUAGUGGUGGAGAUGAUGCUCGUGGUGUUCCAUUGAGUAGUGGGCGCAAUGUUGGUACCAAAGUUGCUAACGAGGAUGCUGGUGCUGCCAGCAUACUUGAUGCCAAAUCGCCUGGUGUUGGUAUUGCUGGGAAUGAAAAUGUUUCUGAUUGUAAAGAUUUGCCGCCGGAGAAUUUAUCGCCUGGAGGUCUUGAUUACGGUGAUGCAUUGCAAGAUUCUUCUAGCAUGGAGGAGGUGCCAUCCGAGGAUGAUGAGUUACUUCUGUCAAUUUCUUCUGGCCCCUUGACGCAGGAGGCGCUCUUGUCGUCCCAGGAUUUUCUUUCUAUAGACCCUGAAAGCACAGCAAUAUUGGUGUCCUCUCAAGAUGUCCCAUCGUCAAACCCUGAAACUGGAGGCAUAAUAGUCUCGUCACAGGAACUACCAUCGUCGUCAAACCCUGAUAGUCCAGCCUUUGUCUCCACUGGCAUGCUCAACUUAGACAGUGCUGACGUUGCUUUAUAUUCUCUACGUCAGAAGUACCGAGACACUGACAAGUUGAUAGUUCCCAGAUGGGUGACGACCAAGAUCCGUGAUGGAAAUAUUGAUUCCAAUGUGCUAAAUUGGUUCACGAGAUCAGAGAGCCCCACUACACCCAAGAAUCCCAUUGUGGAAUUGAUAGACAACGAUGAUGAUGUUUUUGAAAAGAUUACUGGCGUGGGAAGAGUCACGAGGAGCGCUACUGCCAAAGGUUUAUCUCCCCUUGCUGGAAUAGUGGCUCGUAGAGCUGGUGGUGCUAGGAAAGAUCCUGCUUUGGAUUCUGGCAAUGUUGUAAGCAUGAAGCGUGCGCCCAGAGCUCCUAUAAAGGUUUGCUCCCCUAUCCAGCAGCUUCACCCUCAUAAAUUCCCUCACCUGGACAAGGCUCACAAGUUGUAUAAUCUGUUUCUUAGUGAUGAAUGGCGUGAGAAGAAUACAUUCUCAAUGAUACCUCAGCCCGAUGAAAGCGUAACUAGCUUCACUGGGAAUCGCGUUUGGGAAGUUUUUUCACCUGGGCAAAUGAUGGAGGGUGAUGUAAUGGACUUCCUCAUUGAUGAUUGGAAGCAAGAUCCCGAGAGAAAUGUUGAUUUCGCAUCUGGGAAAAGGGUAUUGCUGAGUCCAUAUUUCAUCACGAUCAUGAUGCCUCUAUUCAAGCCUAUGAUUUUAGCAAAGGAUAAGAAAGUGAACCACUUUUCCUUAUAUGUCAUGAAUCGGUACCGAAGUAGCGUUAACAUCCUUGACUCUUUACCUUAUCCGAAGAACCAUCGUCCUUCAAAGAACACCUAUCAUAAAGACUGCGAGAAGAUUAUUUCUAGAUUGGUCCAAGUAAUGAAGGCUGUGUAUGGUGAUGCUCAGUACAAUGCGAGCAAGCAGCCCAACUGGGAGUUGUUUGCAAAGAAACCAACGUUUGUCAAGGUUCCACUUCAAGGGCCGAAUGAAUGUGGCCAUUAUACUCUGAAGUAUGCGGGAUCCUAUGAUGGUGAAAACAUCGUUGAGAACAUUCAAGAUAAUGACCCACGUAUUGUUGAUUGGAAUGCUGAGGAUCUGUAUAGAGUUGUGUUCAACCGGAAUAGCCAGCUUGUGGUGACGGAGCUUCCCAAGGAGGUUCAGGCUUUGGCUCCUGAUGCAUAG
rnacentral:rRNA from 1 species